UUGGAGUUUAACUUUUACUUUAAAAAUAUAAAAAUAGCCUAGACAAGAUGGAUAGCAUAUCUGUUGGAGUUGCUAUCCUAAAAUAAAUACAAGGUCUAUCUUAAAUCUAGUAAGUGCCCUUGCUCUAAAUAAGUGGAUCUGGAUGGUGGUUAAUUAAAUGGAGGAGGAUGAUUGAUGAUGAUCCGGUUUUUCAUCUCGCUCUCCAUGCAUGCACAGUACUCCAGCCCAAGACCAAAACGAAGUGUUCACAUGCAUGCACGUCCGCAUAGAAGACGCCGGCUGGGUGCGCUUAUCUAGUGGUGCAAGACUUUAUAAUUUAUAGAUGUAAAUAUGGUAAAAAUUUGACAUUUAUCACUAUUUUUUAUUUUUUUUCAUGGGUGCGGCUGCACCCACAAUAAUACAUGUAGCUCCGCCCAUGUCCCCAUGUCUAAACUAGGGUCUUGUUUAGUUUCAAAAAUUUUUACAAAAUGUAUAAUGUAGCAUUUUUGUUUGUGUUGAUAAAUAUUGUCUAAUCAUUAAUUAUCUAGGCUCAAAAGAUUUUUCUUACAAAUUAUAGGUAAACUAUACAAUUAGUUAUUAUUUUUAUCUAUAUUUAAUACUUUAUGUAUGUACCGUAAGAUUUAAUGUGACGGAGAAUUUGAAACUUUUUGUAAAUUUUUUUGCUAAACAAAACCUAAGGGUAAAGUGAAUUUUAGAGAGGCGUGACAAAACGGCGGGCCACGUGUUGACUUGCUGUGUGAUGUAGCCACCAGAAGUAGUAGAUGGAAAAGGUCAGCCCAGGCAAGCAUCCCGGCAGCUGAGGCACAUCCAACCCGCAUCCUGCCUUGAUCAUAAAUAACGCCAGUGUUGAGGCUACGGAUGUUAGGCCUGGUUUUGUUCUAACAAUUUUGC
rnacentral:lncRNA from 1 species